AAAAAAGUCGUAACAAGGUCUCCGUUGGUGAACCAGCGGAGGGAUCAUUACCGAGUUUACAACUCCCAAACCCCUGUGAACAUACCUUAUGUUGCCUCGGCGGAUCAGCCCGCGCCCCGUAAAAAGGGACGGCCCGCCGCAGGAACCUUAAACUCUGUUUUUAGUGGAACUUCUGAGUAUAAAAAACAAAUAAAUCAAAACUUUCAACAACGGAUCUCUUGGUUCUGGCAUCGAUGAAGAACGCAGCAAAAUGCGAUAAGUAAUGUGAAUUGCAGAAUUCAGUGAAUCAUCGAAUCUUUGAACGCACAUUGCGCCCGCCAGUAUUCUGGCGGGCAUGCCUGUUCGAGCGUCAUUUCAACCCUCAAGCCCAGCUUGGUGUUGGGAGCUGCAGUCCUGCUGCACUCCCCAAAUACAUUGGCGGUCACGUCGAGCUUCCAUAGCGUAGUAAUUUACAUAUCGUUACUGGUAAUCGUCGCGGCCACGCCGUUAAACCCCAACUUCUGAAUGUUGACCUCGGAUCAGGUAGGAAUAGGUUUCCAUGGUUCA
rnacentral:rRNA from 1 species